rnacentral:rRNA from 1 species
UACGGGGGGGGCAAGCGUUGUUCGGAAUUACUGGGCGUAAAGGGCUCGUAGGCGGCCAACUAAGUCAUACGUGAAAUCCCCCGGCUUAACCGGGGAACUGCGUCUGAUACUGGAUGGCUUGAGUUCGGGAGAGGGAUGCGGAAUUCCAGGUGUAGCGGUGAAAUGCGUAGAUAUCUGGAGGAACACCGGUGGCGAAGGCGGCAUCCUGGACCGAUACUGACGCUGAGGAGCGAAAGCCAGGGGAGCAAAGCAGG